CUUGGUGGUUUUAGCGAAGGGGGUACACCCGUUCCCAUUCCGAACACGGAAGUUAAGCCCUUCAGCGCCGAUGGUAGUUGGGCAUCUGCCCUGCGAGAGUAGGUCGCCGCCAAGA
rfam:Candidatus Peribacteria bacterium RIFCSPHIGHO2_02_FTLL_49_16 rifcsphigho2_02_scaffold_1882, whole genome shotgun sequence.